rnacentral:rRNA from 1 species
UACGAGGGGGGCGAGCGUUGUUCGGAAUUAUUGGGCGUAAAGGGUGCGUAGGCGGCCUGACAAGUCUGAUGUGAAAUCCCUGGGCUCAACCCAGGGCCUGCAUCGGAAACUGUCGGGCUUGAGUAUGGGAGAGGUGAGUGGAAUUCCUGGUGUAGCGGUGAAAUGCGUAGAUAUCGGAAGGAACAUCAGUGGCGAAAGCGGCUUCCUGGUCCAGCACCGACGUUCAGGCACGAAAGCGUGGGGAGCAAACAGG